CCAGGCGCUGGCGAGAGCCGUGCCCUGACGCCCCUGCAAGCGCCGCAGCGCCCGUGCGAGUGCUGUGGCACCCGUGCAAGCACCGCGGUGCCCGUGCAAGCUGGGCAAUGCCCGUGCAAGCACCGGGGGACCCGUGCAAGCACCGCAGUGCCCGUGCAAGCACAGCAGGAGCAAUGCAAGCUGGGCAAUGCCCGUGCAAGCCCCACGGUGCCCGUGCAAGCACUGCAGGAGCAAUGCAAGCUGGACGAUGCUCGUGCAAGCACAGCAGUGCCCGUGCAAGCACGGCAGCGCCCGUGCAAGGGCCGCAGUGCCCGUGCAAGCACAGCAGCACCCGUGCAAGCACCGGGGGACCAAUGCAAGCCCCGCAGUGCCUGUGCAAGCACGGCAGCGCCCGUGCAAGGGCAGCAGGGCCCGCGCGAGCCCCCUCGGUGCCCGUGCGAGCGCUGCGGGUGCGCGCAGGCGGGCACCCAGCGCUACCUGGCGCCCGAGAUCCUGGACGAGAGCCUGGACCUGCGGGCCUGGGGCCGGGCGCUGCGGCAAGCCGACGUCUACGCGCUGGCGCUGCUGCUCUGGGAGAUCCUGUCGCGGUGCCAGGCGCUGAGCCCCGGCCGCCCCGUGCCCGAGUUUCGGCUGGCCUACGAGGCCGAGCUGGGCGGCAGCCCCACGCCGGCGCGGCUGCGGCGCUUGGCCGUGGAGGAGCGGCGGCGGCCGCUGAUCCCCCCCGCUUGGCACCGCGCCGGGCAGGUGAGGCGGCAGGCAACCGGGGGGCUGAGGGGACACCGCGCCGGGGCGGCAGCCGGGUGUCCUUGCAUGGGGUGACCGUGCCCGGGGGGUCCCAGGGGUGACCAGGGUGCUCAGGUGCUCGUGCAUAGGGGGGGCCCUGCAUGGGGUGACCGUGCCCAGGGUGCCCAAGGGGUCCCGGGGGUGACCAGGGUGCCCAGGUGCUCGUGCAUGGGGAGGUCCCUGCACGGGGUGACCAUGUCCAGAGGGUCCCAAGGGUGACAAGGGUGCUCGGGUGCUCAUGCACGGGGAGGUCCCUGCACAGGGUGACCAUGCCCAGGGUGUCCAGGGGGUCCCAGGGGUGACCAGGGUGCCCAGGUGUCCUUGCUCAGGGAGGUCCCUACAUGGGGUGACCAUGCCCAGGGGGUCCAGAGGGUCCCAGGGGUGACAAGGGGUGACC
rnacentral:lncRNA from 1 species